UACAGAGGGGGCAAGCGUUGUCCGGAUUACUGGGCGUACAGCGCGCGCAGGCGGUUGCCGCCGGGCCGUGUGACAAGCGGGGGCUCAACCCCCGAGGGCCACGGUAAACGGGGCGACUGGAGGUAGGGAGAGGGAUGUGGAAUGCCCGGUGGAGCGGUGAAAUGCGUAGAUAUCGUAAGGAAGACCAGUGGCGAAGGCGGGUCUCUGGACAGUUCCUGACGCUGAGGCACGAAGGCCAGGGGAGCAAACGGG
rnacentral:rRNA from 1 species